CUGACACUGUAGUGCCCUGAGGUAACCCCCACCCUCAGGAUCCCCCUCCCAUGGCACUGAAGAGGUUAAAACCACUUCAGCAGCUUACCUUAUUCCAGCACCGGGCUCCCUCGGCGCUGGUGACCUCUCCUCCCCAGCCGACGUCAGCUCCCUCUGCCGACAUCAGCAGAGCCGCAUGCAUUCAAAGUGUCCCUAGGAAAGCAUUUGUCAAUGCUUUCCUAUGGAUGCUCUGCAUGAUGGAGGCAUAAUAUGCCUCCAGCGUCGCAGAUGCGCCUCUAGGGGCUGGCUUAACCCCAAAUGUAAACAUAG